rnacentral:rRNA from 1 species
AUGAUGACAAAAAAAAGAAACGAGAAGCGAUUUGUCGGAUUAGGAACGCGUUUUCAUUGGCCAGCUGCCCCAGGUUUCUCCACACACAACCCCCUCCUCUGCUCCUUUCUCUUCCUCGGCACCGCCGGAUCUGCGGCAGCUCCUGCCCAUGGUCCCCUGCCGCGCCGAGGGAGCACGGCGCCGCUGAGAUGCAGGGCGAUGCACUGCCGCCUACCGCGCCCUUGGCCUUCUCACAUCCCCUGCCCCUCCCUCCUCUUCGGCGACGGCGAGCUGUACGAGUCGGGGGCCUCCCCGCUCGUCUUCCUGAUCCAGGGCGGCGGCAUGAACCUCUCCCGCGUCGGCGAGAAUCUCCUCAGCUCCGUCUGCUGCGCGCGCUCCCUCGCCCUCCUCCCUCCGACCCCAGCCCCUUCCUGUGUCGAGGUUCCAGCUCGAGCUAUUGUUGCAGCGACGGCUGGAUUUGAUGUCACUGAAGUUCUAAAGAUUACAUGA